rnacentral:tRNA from 2 species
GCCCAGGUGGCGAAAUAGGUAGACGCGUUGGACUUAAAAUCCAAUUCCAGCAAUGGAGUAUCAGUUCGAUUCUGAUCCUGGGUA